rnacentral:misc_RNA from 1 species
GGGAACAAAGCUGAAGUACUUACCCU